rnacentral:rRNA from 1 species
UACGUAGGGGGCAAGCGUUGUCCGGAUUUAUUGGGCGUAAAGAGCGUGUAGGCGGCCAUGUAGGUCCGUUGUGAAAACUCGAGGCUCAACCUCGAGACGCCGAUGGAAACCAUGUGGCUAGAGUCCGGAAGAGGAGUGUGGAAUUCCCGGUGUAGCGGUGAAAUGCGCAGAUAUCGGGAAGAACACCCGUGGCGAAGGCGGCACGCUGGGACGGUACUGACGCUGAGACGCGAAAGCGUGGGGAGCGAACAGG